rnacentral:rRNA from 1 species
AGAGACAGCAGUCGCCGCGGUAAUACGUAGGUCCCGAGCGUUGUCCGGAUUUAUUGGGCGUAAAGGGAGCGCAGGCGGUUUAGUAAGUCUGAAGUUAAAGGCAUUGGCUCAACCAAUGUAUGCUUCGGAAACUGUUAGACUUGAGUGCAGAAGGGGAGAGUGGAAUUCCAUGUGUAGCGGUGAAAUGCGUAGAGAUCGGGAGGAACAUCAGUGGCGAAGGCGGCCAUCUGGGACAACACUGACGCUGAGGCACGAAAGCGUGGGGAGCAAACAGGAUUAGAUACCCGCGUAGUCCCUGUCUCUUAUACC